UGGAGCCAGCCACCAGGUCAGACAUGCUGAAUUUUUUCCGAAAUGUUUCCUAAAACAUGCACCUGGCAUGCUGCUUUAUGUUAUCAUCAAUGAGUGACAUGAGUGUGUCCAUUUGCAAGACAUUUGGAGGAAAUCUGAAAGCUCUGAGUUGAGUAGAAAUGCCUAGAAGAGACAAUUCUUCCAAAAGUGGUUCCCAGAAGAUAAAACUGAAUGUGGAUUCUGCAGAAUUACCAAAGGUCAAAAGGAAGAAAAUGCAAAAGGUCUACACCAGCAUUGUGCACUUGCAAAGAGACCUCCUGUACUCCCAGAGACAUAACAAGUAUGUUCCAUAUGAGCCUUACAAAUAUAUGUAUUUGUGUGUAUGCAUAUAUAUAUAAACAUGCAUUCCAUAUUGUAUAUAUGUUGAAACCUAUGCAAAUAUAUUAAGAAUACAUUA